AUGGGUUUGUGUUCAUAUCUUCAUCCCCAACCUUCAUACAAACCCAACAAAAUUUCAAACCCAAAAUUAUUCCUUGUUUUCCCUUUUUUUUUUGAUGUCCAGAUUGCUUGUUUGAAUUACAAUUAUCACACGUGCUAUUAUUCUUUGCUUAAAAAUGAUUUCUCACACUUCUAUCAAGACCAAACACUAUCAGUGUACUACAAAAAUCCACCACCAAUUAUAUUAGAUGAUGAAGCUUGCAAUCCCAUCUCCCAUCAUCAGAAACAACAAUAA